AGUAACACGUGGAUAACCUACCUAUAAGACUGGGAUAACUUCGGGAAACCGGAGCUAAUACCGGAUAAUAUAUUGAACCGCAUGGUUCAAUAGUGAAAGACGGUUUUGCUGUCACUUAUAGAUGGAUCCGCGCUGCAUUAGCUAGUUGGUAAGGUAACGGCUUACCAAGGCAACGAUGCGUAGCCGACCUGAGAGGGUGAUCGGCCACACUGAACUGAGACACGGUCCAGACUCCUACGGGAGGCAGCAGCA
rnacentral:rRNA from 1 species